GACGUAGGGGACGAGCGUUGUCCGGAUUCAUUGGCGUAAGGCGCGAGCGUAGGCGGUUUGGGUAAGUCGGAUGUGGAAAACCAGAAGGCGUCAACCUCUGGCCUGCAUCCGAAUAGCUGCCCGAGCUAGAGGUAAGGUAGGGGAGAUCGGAAUUCCUGGUGUAGACGGUGAAAUGCGCAGAUAUCAGGAGAACAGCCGGUGGCGGAAGGCUGGAUCUCUGGGCCUUACCUGACGCUGAGGCGCGGAAAGCUAGGGGAGCAAACAGG
rnacentral:rRNA from 1 species